UACGAAGGUGGCAAGCGUUGUUCGGAUUUACUGGGCGUACAGGGAGCGUAGGCGGUUGGGUAAGCCCUCCGUGAAAUCUCCGGGCCUAACCCGGAAAGUGCGGAGGGGACUGCUCGGCUAGAGGAUGGGAGAGGAGCGCGGAAUUCCCGGUGUAGCGGUGAAAUGCGUAGAGAUCGGGAGGAACACCGGUGGCGAAGGCGGCUUCCUGGACCGACACUGACGCUGAGGCGCGAAAGCUAGGGGAGCAAACGGG
rnacentral:rRNA from 1 species